rnacentral:rRNA from 1 species
GAUGAACGCUGGCGGCGUGCCUAAUACAUGCAAGUCGAGCGAACAGACGAGGAGCUUGCUCCUCUGACGUUAGCGGCGGACGGGUGAGUAACACGUGGAUAACCUACCUAUAAGACUGGGAUAACUUCGGGAAACCGGAGCUAAUACCGGAUAAUAUAUUGAACCGCAUGGUUCAAUAGUGAAAGACGGUUUUGCUGUCACUUAUAGAUGGAUCCGCGCCGCAUUAGCUAGUUGGUAAGGUAACGGCUUACCAAGGCAACGAUGCGUAGCCGACCUGAGGGGGUGAUCGGCCACACGGGAACUGAGACACGGUCCAGACUCCUACGGGAGGCCGCAGUAGGGAAUCUUCCGCAAAGGGCGAAAGCCUGACGGAGCAACGCCGCGUGAGUGAUGAAGGUCUUCGGAUCGUAAAACUCUGUUAUUAGGGAAGAACAAAUGUGUAAGUAACUAUGCACGUCUUGACGGUACCUAAUCAGAAAGCCACGGCUAACUACGUG